GAAGGUCUAGCUACAUAUAAAGAAACUUUGGCAUAAAGACAUUAAACGAUUAUAACUAUCAGAACAAUAUUACAAUCAGUUUCUUGUAUCAUAUUCUAAAUAUAAACCACACGAUUUUCAUCAACACUUUUGGUUCUUCAUCUAUAAUGAUUGUUCCUCUUUCUUGUGUGUUGGAAGAAAUUGUCUUUGAGGAUAAUUUGUGAUAUUUGCUAUAACAUUUAGGUGGAAUAUUUGUACAAUGGUAGCUACGCAAAGUAGGUUGUCAUGCUAAUCCAAGAUCAAAACAAACACCGAA
rnacentral:lncRNA from 1 species